UACGUAGGGUGCAAGCGUUGUCCGGAAUUAUUGGGCGUAAAGAGCUCGUAGGCGGUUUGUCGCGUCGGGAGUGAAAUCCACUGGCUUAACUGGUGGCUUGCUUUCGAUACGGGCAGACUGGAGGUAUGCGGGGGAGAACGGAAUUCCUGGUGUAGCGGUGAAAUGCGCAGAUAUCAGGAGGAACACCGGUGGCGAAGGCGGGUCUCUGGGCCACUACUGACGCUGAGAAGCGAAAGCAUGGGGAGCGAACAGG
rnacentral:rRNA from 1 species